ACUAUCCUAUCAGAGGGGGAUAACCCGGCGAAAGUCGGACUAAUACCGCAUGAAGCAGGGAUCCCGCAUGGGAAUAUUUGCUAAAGAUUCAUCGCUGAUAGAUAGGCAUGCGUUCCAUUAGGCAGUUGGCGGGGUAACGGCCCACCAAACCGACGAUGGAUAGGGGUUCUGAGAGGAAGGUCCCCCACAUUGGUACUGAGACACGGACCAA
rnacentral:rRNA from 1 species